rnacentral:lncRNA from 1 species
GGGGAAGAUGGCGGAAGAGUAACACGCGGAGAUCACCUUCCUCCCCGCAGAUACACCAGAAAUACAUCUACACGUGGAACAACUACAGAACACCUACUGAACACUGGCAGAAGACCACAGACCUCCCAAAAGGCAAGAAAGUCCCCACGUACCUGGGUAGGGCAAAAAAAUAAGAAUAAACAGACAAAAGGAUGGGAAUGGGACCUGCACCACUGGGAGGGAUCUGUGAAGGAGGAAAGGUUUCCACACACUAGGAAGCCCCUUUGCGGGCUGAGACUGCGGGUGGUGGAGGGGGAAAGCUUCGGAGCUGGAGCUGCGGAGGAGAGCGCAGCAACAGGGGUGCGGAGGGCAAAGCAGAGAGAUUCCCGCACAGAGGAUCGGUGCCAACCGGCACUCACCGGCCCGAGAGGCUUGUCUGCUCCCCCACCGGGGCGGGCAGGGCUGGGAGCUGAGGCUCCGGCUUCGGUCAGAGCACAGGGAGAGGACUGGGGUUGGCAGCGUGAACACAGCCUGAAGGGGGCUAGUGCACCACGGCUAGCCAGGAGGGAGUCCAAGGAAAAGUCUGGAGCUGCCGAAGAGGCAAGAGACUUUUUCUUCCCUCUUUGUUUCCUGGUGUGCGAGGUGAGGGGAUUAAGAGCGCUGCUGAAAGGAGCUCCAGAGACGGGUGCGAGCUGCGGCUAAAAGCGCGGACCCUAGAGACGGACAUGAGAUGCUAAGGCUGCUGCUGCCACCACCAAGAAGCCUGUGUGCGAGCACAGGUCACUAUCCACACCCCCCCUUCCAGGGAGCCUGUGCAGCCCGCCACUGCCAGAGUCCUGGGAUCCAGUGACAACUUUCCCAGGAGAACGCUCGGUGUGCCUCAGGCUGGUGCAACGUCAUGCUGGCCUCUGCCGCCGCAGGCUCACCCCGCAUUCCGUACCCCACCCUCCCCCCGGCCUGAGUAAGCCAGAGUCCACGAAGCACCUGCUCCUUUAACCCCAUCCUAUCUGAGCGAAGAGCAGACGCCCUCCAGCGACCUACACACCGAGGCGGGGCCAAAUCCAAAAUUGAGCCCCCGGGAGCUGUGAGAACAAAGAAGAGAAAGGGAAAUCUCUCCCAGCAGCUUCAGAAGCAGCAGAUUAAAGCUCCACAAUCAACUUGAUGUACCCUGCGUCUGUGGAAUACAUGAAUAGACAACAAGUCAUCCCAAAUUGAGGAGGUGGACUUUGAGAGCAAGAUUUAUGAUUUUUUUCCCCUUUUUCUCUUUUUGUGAGUGUGUAUGUGUAUGCUUCUGUGUGAGAUUGUGUCUGUAUAGCUUUGCUUCCAACAUUUGUCCUAGGGUUCUAGCCGUCCUUUUUUUAAAUAUUUUCAUUUUAAUAACUUUAUUUUAUUUUACUUUAUCUCCUUCCUUCCUUCCUUCCUUCCUUCCUUCCUUCCUUCCUUCCUUCCUUCCUUCCGUCCUUCCUUCCUUCCUUUUCUCUUUUAUUCUGAGCCGUGUGGAUGAAAGGCUCUUGGUGCUGCAGCCAGGAGUCAGUGCUGUGCCACUGAGGUGGGAGAGCCAACUUCAGGACACUGGUCCACAAGAGACCUCCCAGCUCCACAUAAUAUCAAACGGUGAAAAUCUCCCAGAGAUCUCCAUCUCAACACCAGCACCCAGCUUCACUCAACGACCAGCAAGCUACAGUGCUGGACACCCUAUGCCAAACAACAAGCAACACAGGAACACAACCCCACCCAUUAGCAGAGAGGCGCCUAAAAUCAUAAUAAGUCCACAGACACCCCAAAACACACCACCAGACGUGGACCUGCCCACCAGAAAGACAAGAUCUAGCCUCAUCCACCAGAACACAUGCACUAGUCCCCUCCACCAGGAAGCCUACACAACCCACUGAACCAACUUUAGCCACUGGGGAGAGACACCAAAAACAACAGGAACUACGAACCUGCAGCCUACAAAAAGGAGACCCAAAACACAGUAAGGUAAGCAAAAUGAGAAGACAGAAAAACACACUGCAGAUGAAGGAGCAAGAUAAAAACCCACCAGACCUAACAAAUGAAGAGGAAAUAGGCAGUCUACCUGAAAAAGAAUUCAGAAUAAUGAUAGUAAAGAUGAUCCAAAAUCUUAGAAAUAGAAUAGAGAAAAAUGCAAGAAACACUUAACAAGGACCUAGAAGAACUGAAGAUGAAACAAGCAAUGAUGAACAACACAAUAAGUGAAAUUAAAAAUACUCAGAUGGGAUCAAUAGAAGAAUAACUGAUGCAGAAGAACGGAUAAGAGACCUGGAAGAUAAAAUAGUGGAAAUAACUACUGCAGAGCAGAAUAAAGAAAAAAGAAUGAAAAGAACUGAGGAUGGUCUCAGAGACCUCUGGGAAAACAUUAAAUGCACCAACAUUCGAAUUAUAGGGGUUCAAGAAGAAGAAGAGAAAAAGAAAGGGACUGAGAAAAUAGUUGAAGAGAUUAUAGUUGAAAACUUCCCUAAUAUGGGAAAGGAAAUAGUUAAUCAAGUCCAGGAAGCACAGAGAGCCCCAUACAGGAUAAAUCCAAGGAGAAAUACGCCAAGACACAUAUUAAUCAAACUAUC